ensembl:lincRNA
GGUUGCCUAGGCAACCAAGGCCCACCCACAGCAACCAGCAACCAAGACCAGACAAGAGCUCAGCAGAAAAUGGAUGAGCCUCUAGAAGAGGUUCCCUCUGUAUCCUUGAGAAAUGAAAGUCCAGCCACAUCCCCAACUGCUGGUCCCACUAACAACCUUGAAGAUGACAAUCAGCCCAAAGGGGAGGCAAAUUACCACACAGACCGCCGAGUAGCUGACGAAGAUACCCAAAUAGUACAUGACCAGCCUAAAGCCAUCAUAACUUCCCAAGCUGACCAAAAAGUAUCUGAAGAUACUGGGUAUACAAUACAUGAUCAGUUUGACCAACAAUCAUCUGAGCCAACUGAUGGUAAGAUGUCCAGCCAAGCUGAUGAUGUAGUAUAUGGACAGAAUGACCAUAGGGUAUCUGGUCUGAUGGAUAGAACUGCUGAGCAGGUGGACUGCAGACUAUCCAGCCAGCCUCACAGAAGGGCUUCUGAGCAGGUAAGCCCAAGAGUGUCUAGCCAAGCAGAGAGAAAAGCUUCUGAGCAGGUAGACCACAGAGGGUCCAGCCAAGCUGAAAGCAGAGCUUCUGAGCAAGGAGACCACAGAUUGUCUAGCCAGGCCAAAGAAAGAGCUUCUCAUCAGACUGAUGACACAUCAUCUAUGCCAUCUGAUGGAGGAGCAUCUGAGAAUGAUCAAAAUAGAAUGCCUGACCAAGAAACUUCUGAACAGAUUGACUUCAGGUUGUCCAACCUCUCUGGGAGAACUGAGAAAGCUGACUCAAUCUUGUCUGAUCAAGAUGGACAUAAAACAGCUACAAAGUUUCAUGAAGUGUAUAAUCGAGCCACUAAACCAAAUGAACAGCAAGCUGUCUACCAAGCUGACAGCAGUGCUGAUAAAUUUAUGAUUGGUAGAGAUGCCUAUAGUGACGAAGGCCAGGUUAACAAUUUCAUAGAUACACAAGCUGACCAAGAUCCAUCUUACUAUAAAACACUUGACCAGAUUGAGGACAAAAUAUUUGCCCAUUUCAGGAAGCAGGACAAACCGGAUUAUUACAGAAUUCAGUCCUGCAAAUUUGAGGCUAGCCAUUUCUUAGACCUCAGACCCAAGCUUUCAGAGACAAUAGAAAGUGAAAGUCCAACCACUAGCCAAGUCUUCUUCCUAGAUGGUGCCAGACUCACCGAUAAUUUCCCACCAAAAGACCACACCCUUUGCACAAAGCUGCCCUCUAUCUUGUCCAAACUGGACUCUAUCACCACUCAAGAAAAAACUCGAGCCACAAAAAUCAAACCUUUACAGGAUGAUUUUUCAGAAUUCAAGCAGGAAAAGACUUUUCAUUCAGAGGAGCAAACUCUUAAGGGGAAGUUCCCUCCUAUAGUUUAUGAAGAUCCUUAUCAAGCUUCACUCCAGUACAUGGAGAAGCACAACAUCCUGCAGAUAUUCCAGAUCACUGAAAACUUAGUCUUUGAAAAGCCAGAGGACCCCCUGCAUUUUAUGCUGUGCCAGGUACAGAAAAUGAUGAAAAAUAGAGGCAAACUGUGAAACCUACAAAGAAUGAAUCUCUCUUCAGUAUUGUUUAUAAUAAUCAAUAACAAUGCUAUGCUCUGUUUCCCAGUCUGAAAAUAGUUUUUGAAUAGGUAUUGGUGGUGAGUCUGGCUAAAUGUGUGCUUAAUCUUAAAAGAAUAUGUAGAAUAUGUUUCUAAGAUUCACAAAGCAGUUAUAGAUAUCUCCAGCUAAUUGUACAAAAGUACACAUGUUAUAAUUAUACAUGUAUUGGUAUUUUAAUACGUAUUCCCUCAAAUCCAUGGUCGACAACAAGUUGAAAAAUCCUAGAGAAGAUAAAAUGUUAUCUCUUUUCUAUUUCUUAAUAACUACAACAUAUUUUUACCAUGUUUUACCACUGCCUAUCAUAUCCUGUCAUUAAUAGAUGAGAUUUAUUCUCUAAGGGUAGCUCACUUCUGAUUUUCAACCUAAGCAAAACUCAAACACACAGUACUCUUGUGUACACACCUGUGGGUGAGGCUGAAUGUCACUUCCUCAUUACCUUUAUUCCCUGAAAGGUAUCUGCAGCA